rnacentral:rRNA from 1 species
UACGUAGGGGGCAAGCGUUGUCCGGAUUUAUUGGGCGUAAAGAGCGUGUAGGCGGUUUGGUAGGUCCGCUGUGAAAACUCGAGGCUCAACCUCGAGACGCCGGUGGAAACCAUCAGGCUAGAGUCCGGAAGAGGAGAGUGGAAUCCCUGGUGUAGCGGUGAAAUGCGCAGAUAUCAGGAAGAACACCCGUGGCGAAGGCGGUUCUCUGGAACGCAACUGACGCUGAGACGCGAAAGCGUGGGGAGCAAACAGG